rnacentral:lncRNA from 1 species
CUUCACUCCUAGGGAGCCUCUGAACCGAGCCCCCGCCCCCCGCCCCUGCCCCGUCAGGUGGAGCCCAGUGUUAGUACAGGAAAUGAACGCGCUGUGUUGAGGCUGCGCGCGCUUGCCCCAUUGUCUAGCGGCUGUUUGUCCUCCCGCGCACACAGCGGCCUUUGUGCUCCUGCUGCAUCCUACACGCAGCUGUGAACCGCGGCGCCCGAGCUGGGAAUGCGCCCAGGAUGGCAGGCGGCACAGCCAGACCUCAGCCACUGCAGCUGCCACCUCUGAGUGUCCAGCGGUGACCACUGUAGCCUGGGCAGGCAACAAGGACGUCCUGGAAACACGGCUCACUCCCUGUCAGGUGCAGCUGCUGACACCGUGGCAAACAUGGCGUCCAAGGCGUGCUUGUGCAGUGACCCAACGUCCCCACUCCACUGGGGUCUUCCUAGGGAUGCGACAACAGAGGGAGGAGGAGGAAGCAGCAGGGAAGAACAGAAUCGGCUUUGAGACGGAAGCGCCGUGGUGGUUCCUGCAGGAUGUGUCCUUGACGCGUCCUUGGCAGCCCGAGAGUCCUUGCUUCCCUGAAUGUCUGGGCGCAGUGGACCAAGCAGGCGAGGCGGGGAUGCCAACAAGCUCAGGGGGAAGUGGAAGUAAAGGAGAGUUGGCAUAGCGCUUGCUUGGGGACUGGGGGGUUGGCGCUGUGGCACAGUAGGUUCAGCCUCCGCCUGCAGUGCCGGCAUCCCAGAUGGGCGCCGGUUCAAAUUCCAGCUGCUCCACUUCCAAGCCAGCUUCUGGCUGCUCAUGGCCUGGGAAAGCAGUGGAGGAUGGCUCAGGUGCUUGGGCCCCUGCACCCACGUGGGAGACCUGGAAGAAGCUCCUGGCUCCUGGCUUCCGAUUGGCACAGCUCCAGCACUGGGACCAUCUGGAGAGGGAACCAGCACAUGGAAGACCUCUCUCUGUCUCUUCCUCUCUCUGUCCCUAACUCUGCCUCUCAAGGAAAUAAAUAAAUAUUUUUAGAAAAUAAUCA